GCUGUAGCUUACUGGCAGAACAUCUGCUUUACAUGCAGGAGACCCCAGUUUUGAACCCUGGCAUCUCCA